AGCGAACGCUGGCGGCAGGCUUAACACAUGCAAGUCGAGCGGACCUUUCGGGGUCAGCGGCGGACGGGUGAGUAACGCGUGGGAACGUGCCUUCCGGUUCGGCAUAACCCUGGGAAACUAGGGCUAAUACCGGAUACGCCCUUAUGGGGAAAGGUUUACUGCCGGACGAUCGGCCCGCGUCUGAUUAGCUAGUUGGUGGGGUAACGGCCUACCAAGGCGACGAUCAGUAGCUGGUCUGAGAGGAUGAUCAGCCACACUGGGACUGAGACACGGCCCAGACUCCUACGGGAGGCAGCAGUGGGGAAUAGUGGACAAUGGGCGCAAGCCUGAUCCAGCCAUGCCGCGUGAGUGAUGAAGGCCUUAGGGUUGUAAAGCUCUUUUAUCCGGGACGAUAAUGACGGUACCGGAGGAAUAAGCCCCGGCUAACUUCGUG
rnacentral:rRNA from 1 species